rnacentral:lncRNA from 1 species
AAAAAAAAAAAAAAAAAAAAAAAAAAAAGUAAAAAAAAAAGUAAAAAGUAAAAAAAAAAGUAAAAAUCAGUGACAUUGUUAAAAACACGAUGUUGAGCGAACAACUGAACAAGCUGCGGAUAGAGAAAAAGGUACAACUGUUCGAAGAUAAAAAUAUAGAUAAGGUAACAAGAGUAAAAUAUGACUUAUUUCAGAGGAUUUAUAAAGACUUAGUAUUGUCUUCGUCACAUAUAGAAUCGAUAGAAAAUUGCCUAGAAGAAUUAAUACGUAUAAACUCAAAUUUUAAUAAUUUCAAAAUUUUGUUUAUUUUAGAUGAAUUCGAUUCUAUACAUGUUUUUUAUGACGAAAAGGAAAAAACCAAUAGAGGAGUAUACUUAAAACAUAGAAGUUUUUUAACACAAGAAGAAGAAAAAAAUGUAUUUGAAAAAAUAAAUGAAUUUUUAAAAUUAUGUUCUUUAUACUCUUAUUCAGAUUAUGUAAAAAUUUUAAUCGAAUUUUUAAUAUAUAAAUAUGAAAUAAAUAUAAAAUGUAGUCACAACUUAUUGUUAUGUUUGUUACCAAACAUUUCUUCACCUAACUUAAAAAAUAUUUUAGAAAUAAUAUAUAUUAAAAAAGAGUCACCUUUUUUUUUUAUAAACAAUUAUAAGAGAGACUCAUUAAACAAAAUAAAUAAUUCAGUUAUAGUACAUUAUAUUAAAAAGGAUAUAACACUAUAUAAAAUUUUUUUUGAGUAUUGUAUUCAAUUAAUUUUUACCAAAUUUAGUAAAGACAAUUAUAUUGCUUAUAUAAAUAACCCAAAUGAACAAAAACAAAAUAACUCACAUUUGUAUAUAGACUUUUUUAUAUCCAUUUCAAAAGAUGUUGUUAAUAGUUAUAUAGACAUUCCACAUAACAUUAUUGAAUUGUAUAGUAACAUAUUGAUUCUUCUUGUUAAUAAUUCGUUGAAAGUAAUAAACUCAAUUAAUGUAUGUACAGAACCACGUGUAAAAAAAUAUGUUGACAAUAGUAAUAUUAACAUUAUUGAAAAUAAAAAUGAGAUAAAUGGUAUUAAUAACAUACCUAUGUAUAAUGAGAACAAUAUCAACUAUAACCAAAGUAGUAACAACAAAAAAGGAAAAGAACACAAAACAAAACAAUAUGAACAAAACAAAAUAUACAUUACAAAUAUUUAUAACUGUAACAAUUUUUUUAAUAAAUUUUUAUCUAUAUUUAAACAAUCUAUUAGUAAAUGUAAAAGUGGAUUUCUUUUAGAUUUGUUAAAAAAUAAAAUAUGUACGUUUUUUUUCAAUAUACAAUUUUUAUCAAAAUGUAAAGAACAAAUAGAUAUAUAUGACUGUUGUUAUGAAUUUUUAAAAUGUGUCAUAACUCUUUUAAACAUAUGUUAUAAACAUAUGUAUAACAUAUCGUUUGAUAGUUAUAUUAAUACCAUCCAAAUCGCAUUGUUGCAGUAUAGAGA